rnacentral:rRNA from 1 species
GUUGAACGCUGGCGGCAGGCUUAACACAUGCAAGUCGAGCGAGGUGAUGGUGCUUGCACUAUCACUUAGCGGCGGACGGGUGAGUAAUGCUUAGGAAUCUGCCUAUUAGUGGGGGACAACAUCUCGAAAGGGAUGCUAAUACCGCAUACGUCCUACGGGAGAAAGCAGGGGAUCACUUGUGACCUCGCGCUAAUAGAUGAGCCUAAGUCGGAUUAGCUAGUUGGUGGGGUAAAGGCCUACCAAGGCGACGAUCUGUAGCGGGUCUGAGAGGAUGAUCCGCCACACUGGGACUGAGACACGGCCCAGACUCCUACGGGAGGCAGCAGUGGGGAAUAUUGGACAAUGGGGGGAACCCUGAUCCAGCCAUGCCGCGUGUGUGAAGAAGGCCUUAUGGUUGUAAAGCACUUUAAGCGAGGAGGAGGCUCUUUUGGUUAAUACCCAAGAUGAGUGGACGUUACUCGCAGAAUAAGCACCGGCUAACUCUGUGCCAGCCGCCGCGGUAA